AACGAACGCUGGCGGCAUGCCUAACACAUGCAAGUCGAACGAGACCUUCGGGUCUAGUGGCGCCCGGGUGCGUAACGCGUGGGAACCUGCCCUUAGGUUCGGAAUAACUCCCCGAAAGGGGUUCUAAUACCGGAUAAUGUCUUCGGACCAAAGAUUUAUCGCCUUUGGAUGGGCCCGCGUUGGAUUAGCUAGUUGGUAGGGUAAAAGCCUACCAAGGCGACGAUCCAUAGCUGGUCUGAGAGGAUGAUCAGCCACACUGGGACUGAGACACGGCCCAGACUCCUACGGGAAGCAGCAGUGGGGAAUAUUGGACAAUGGGCGAAAGCCUGAUCCAGCAAUGCCGCGUGAGUGAUGAAGGCCUUAGGGUUGUAAAGCUCUUUUACCCGGGAUGAUAAUGACAGUACCGGGAGAAUAAGCUCCGGCUAACUCCGUG
rnacentral:rRNA from 1 species